GGCGAACGGGUGAGUAACACGUGGGUGAUCUGCCUUGCACUCUGGGAUAAGCUUGGGAAACUGAGUCUAAUACCGGAUAGGAACCGUCUUUAGUGUGGUGGUUGGAAAGUUUUUUCGGUGCAAGAUGAGCUCGCGGCCUAUCAGCUUGUUGGUGGGGUAAUGGCCUACCAAGGCGUCGACGGGUAGCCGGCCUGAGAGGGUGUACGGCCACAUUGGGACUGAGAUACGGCCCAG
rnacentral:rRNA from 1 species